GUAAAUUAAAAUGUUUUGGUCAAGUGUGAAGGAAAUCAUGUGACAAUCCGAGUGUUUUAAUCAAUGCCACAGUGUCUCCUGAGGUCAGCUGUCGCAGAAAGAACUCUCUUGAGUGGCACUGCCACAAAAUAGCUGAAUUAGAAAGAGUAAUUCCUCACACUGUGGUCCUUUUUUGUUAAGGAUUCUUUUCUCUAGGCCUCUCUUCAAGUCGAUCUUUAAAAUCACACAGUAAAACUCUGGGGGUGUAAGGCUUCUCAAUAGUUUCUACUUCACUGUUCGCACAUCACAUGAAUUUCUCUGAAGAUUUACUUUUCACAGCUAAUCAGUUGUUACUUGGAUCGAAUGAGUACAGUAAAUCACACUUGCUUGCACUUUACAGAAAAAAGAACGUAGCAGAACACAGCUGAGUCAUCGCCUGCUGUGAGGUGAUUCUCUCUGAAGGGAUUGGAUUUCAGGCGACCUCACCCCACCCCUCGCUGUAUCACCACCUCAUUGCUUUUUAAUUUAAGAUUAACUUCACUUUUUUCAGUCUCUAACUCCAAAGACAUGGGUUUAGUGUGUGCUCCCUUCGUCUGCUGGCUGUCUCUUUCUCUCGCUCUCCCUCCCUAAUAUGUUUAGCUCGCACAGUGCCAUCAGUUACAUGUCUGCCAAGCAUCGCACGUCGUCAACUUGCUCCCAAUGACAUCCCACUGUUCUGAGCAUUGAUUGGCAGGUCAAGCAGCGAGCGCAAGCAGGAAAUCAAUAGCAGAGGACCUCUAGACAGUACAGGGGGAGUCUUCAAGGAACUGGCCCGCUGGACACUGCCAAUCACCAACCACAAAAUACACACUUUGGGAUGCUGUUGGCGCAUCCCCAAAAACAAACACUCAACUGACACUGGUGACAAUAAUUCUGGAGCAGGUUCGAAAAUAAAACCUGAAAAGGAAAUGGAAGACUGUAAAUUUAGCACUGACACUCAGGUCUACCUCCUCGUCAGAGGCGGUGUUGUAGCUUAGGCUGUUGGAGGACCCAAAGGAUUGUCAUUUUUUCCCCCUUUUCCCAGACAGAGAGUACAACUCUUGGAGACAUAUCCUCAUAACUGCUAAAGCCAAGAUCACUUUGUGCCGCACUUCGUGUUCCACUACCCUUGCAGUUUUAUCCUCUACCUCACCAUCAGUGACCUUUGAACCUGGUCAUUUAUCUCACGGCUCAAAAUAUAUUGAGAUGAUUCAUUGUGCACACCACUCAAGGUUGUGAACUUCAUGAAACAAUGGAACAAAGAGAAUCUUACAUACAGUUUUGGUACAAUAUUUAAGGCAUAUGUAACGCAAAUGUUUGCAACAGCCAUCAACAGUUUUUGAGAUCCAUUCAUUUUGAUCUAAAACCUACAAAUAAAGUGUUACUUUUAAAUUUCUGUUGACGUCAAACUGAUAAGGUGUUGGUAGGAGCUGCAUUGCUGAUGAAAAUUAUAUGCUUUUCACAAAUUUUAGAUUUCAGUAUGGUGCUAGACAGUUUAAUAGCUUUUCACUGUAGACAAUGAGUAAUUGUAUGUUUACACAUAUUUUGCAAUUGGGAUGUGUUUUGAGUUUGUUUGUUUGUUUCUUGGAGGUGGGGAUAACUCCUUCAGAGUAAAAAUAGAAAUGCUAUGAACUUUUUUCUGGGCGCUGGCAGUUGGUGAAGCAUUUCAACGUGUUUCAAAUAAUGUCACCCUGGGUCCCUGCCAUGCAUUUGCCUUUCACAGUGCGGCUGACCAAAACAUUUAUAAAUCUGGAUUUCCAUGGUAACCACUGGAAUUAAAUAUGCAUCAAAACUUCCCAGUGCAAAAGGCGAAUGACAGCAGAAAGCAGCAAUGACGACAGUUGAAAGCGUGUUCUCCGUAUGCCUGACAGAAAUGUACCACAUUACGGCAAUGUUCCAAACAACUGCUCCCGCACAUACAUGCACCAAUGCAUUAACAAUCACCUACACGUAUCAUCUCCCUCACCUCUUGUACACACCGAACAAUGGAAUAGCACUCAGCAUAAAUUCUACUGUUGCUGACAAUGGCUUCUCGCCAGGCUCUGCCCAUCUUUUUAUGAUCUGUAGUAUCUACACUACAUUCCUAAUGCACUGUGGAUAGAUGUUGUACUUUGAGCUCUUGCCUUCACCCUACAUUUCAAAUGUGGAUGUUUGUGAAAUGGACUGGAAUGAAAUGGGGAUAAAAAGAGCCUGUCUUAUUUCCACAGCUAA